CCUACGGGUGGCAGCAGUGAGGAAUAUUGGUCAAUGGACGCAAGUCUGAACCAGCCAAGUAGCGUGCAGGAUGACGGCCCUCCGGGUUGUAAACUGCUUUUAGUUGGGAAUAAAAGUGGGCUCGUGAGCCCCGUAUUGUAUGUACCAUCAGAAAAAGGACCGGCUAAUUCCGUGCCAGCAGCCGCGGUAAUACGGAGGGUCCGGGCGUUAUCCGGAUUUAUUGGGUUUAAAGGGAGCGUAGGCCGGCUUUUAAGUCAGCUGUGAAAGUCCGGGGCUCAACCGUGGAAUUGCAGUUGAUACUGGAGGGCUUGAGUGCAUUAAGGGAUGCUGGAAUUCAUGGUGUAGCGGUGAAAUGCGUAGAGAUCAUGAAGAACUCCGAUCGCGAAGGCAAGUGUCUGGGGUGGAACUGACGCUGAGGCUCGAAAGUGCGGGUAUCAAACAGGAUUAGAUACCCGGGUAGUC
rnacentral:rRNA from 1 species